rnacentral:SRP_RNA from 1 species
GCCUUAUGGCAAGGGUGGAGAUGUGAACCGGGUCAGAUCGGGAACGAAGCAGCUCUAAGCAUUGUCCAUUCUGUGCUAUAAGAUUGAU